rnacentral:rRNA from 1 species
AUGAAGAGUUUGAUCCUGGCUCAGGAUGAACGCUAGCGGCAGGCCUAAUACAUGCAAGUCGAGGGGCAGCACGGUUUUCGGACUGGUGGCGACCGGCGCACGGGUGCGUAACGCGUAUGCAACUUACCUCUAACAGGAGGAUAGCCUUUCGAAAGGAAGAAUAAUACUCCAUAAUAUUUAUUAGUGGCAUCAUUAAUUUAUUAAAACUACGGUGGUUAGAGAUAGGCAUGCGUCCUAUUAGCUAGUUGGUGAGGUAACAGCUCACCAAGGCGAUGAUAGGUAGGGGGCCUGAGAGGGUUAUCCCCCACACUGGUACUGAGACACGGACCAGACUCCUACGGGAGGCAGCAGUGAGGAAUAUUGGACAAUGGGCGGGAGCCUGAUCCAGCCAUGCCGCGUGCAGGAUGACGGCCCUAUGGGUUGUAAACUGCUUUUAUACGGGAAGAAAUGCGCCCACGUGUGGGCGUCUGACGGUACCGUAAGAAUAAGGACCGGCUAACUCCGUGCCAGCAGCCGCGGUAAUACGGAGGGUGCAAGCGUUGUCCGGAAUCAUUGGGUGUAAAGGGUGCGUAGGCGGACUGCUAAGUCUGGGGUGAAAUCUUGCCGCUUAACGGUAAAAUGGCCUUGGAUACUGGCAGUCUUGAGUGUAGAAGAGGCAGGUGGAAUUCGUAGUGUAGCGGUGAAAUGCAUAGAUAUUACGAAGAACAUCAGUGGCGAAGGCGGCCUGCUGGUCUACAACUGACGCUGAGGCACGAAAGCGUGGGGAGCGAACAGGA